rnacentral:rRNA from 1 species
UACGAAGGGGGCUAGCGUUGCUCGGAAUCACUGGGCGUAAAGCGCACGUAGGCGGCUUUCUAAGUCAGGGGGUGAAAUCCUGGAGCUCAACUCCAGAACUGCCUUUGAUACUGAGGAUCUUGAGUUCGGGAGAGGUGAGUGGAACUGCGAGUGUAGAGGUGAAAUUCGUAGAUAUUCGCAAGAACACCAGUGGCGAAGGCGGCUCACUGGCCCGAUACUGACGCUGAGGCACGGAAGCGUGGGGAGCAAACAGGG